rnacentral:misc_RNA from 1 species
GAUGAAGAACGUAGCGAAAUGCGAUAAGUAGUGUGAAUUGCAGAAUUCAGUGAAUCAUCGAAUCUUUGAACGCACAUUGUGCCCCUUGGUAUUCCAUGGGGCAGGCCUGUUCGAGCGUCAUUUGUACCUUCAAGCUUUGCUUGGUGUUGGGUGUUUGUCUCGCCUUUGCGUGUAGACUCGCCUUAAAAUAAUUGGCAGCCGGCGUAUUGAUUUCGGAGCGCAGUACAUCUCGCGCUUUGCACUCAUAACGACAGCGUCCAAAAGUACAUUUUACACUCUUGACCUCGGAUCAGGUAGGGAUACCCGCUGAACUUAAGCAUAUCAAUAAGCGGAGGA